AGUGAGGAGAAAAAGGUGCAUGUUUAGGCAUUACAAAUGACAAAAGCAAAACCAGAACAAAAGGUUAUAGCCAAAGAGACCAGACAAGACAAGAAAGCAAGUUAUUGGUAAAACAGUCAUUAAGAAGUUCAAUAGGAAUUGCUUCCUUCAUAACAUCUUCUAGGGGAAACUCACAAGUAUUAACUGCCCUUACUAUAGUGACUUACCAUGAUAAUUUGCAUUAAUCGACGGAAAGUAGUUUAAUGAUCUUCUUGAUGUGUACAAGAAGACAUUAAAGUCUGAUGGAAUUACUAGGCUCUACCGCGGAUUUAACAUUUAAUGCGUUGGAAGUAUUGUCUACCGUAGGCUUUAUUUUGGAUUGUACGAUUCCUUGAAUAAUUUUUUUCUAACUGGAAAGUUGCAGGUAUGUGUUUCAUUUUCAAAUAAUGUGUCUUUAAUGUAGUAUCUAUUUAUAUUUUUUAAGUUACUUACUUUUAGUAAAUGCAUUUGUGAAUUGUAAAUGCAAUUCAAAAUUGUCAAAAAUUCUUAGUUUUUUUAAUAAAAAUAGCUGCAUAAUUUCAUAUUGCUGAAGCUGACAUCUUAAUUCUCAUAUGAAAACAAUUAUGUUAUAUAAUUGUAAGAGAACAAUUUCUAUCAAAAGAAUUCUUAUCGAAUGAUGUUUUUCUUGGGCUACACUGAUACUCAUAAUCAAACCUUUAUUUUUAUGUAUGACAAGUCUGCAUAGUUUCAUAAGGUUUUUGUUUUUUAACAUUCUCUGAGCAUACUAAUGAUGUCAAUGCAGUCCACUUCAUGGCUAAUAACCAUUGUCUUCUAAGUGCAUCACUGGAUGGAACCGUUUGAGCGUGGGAUUUUUUUCGUUACCGGAAAUUUAGAACAUUUAAUACUCCCUACACCCAGGCAUUUUUUUGCAUUGGCUUCAGAAAAAAGUGGUGAAAUAAUUUGUGACUGGCCGUCUAUUAGAUAUUCUUAGUGAUCAUGGAGGACCAGUUCAUGAUUUGAUGUUUUCGCCUACAAAUGGCUGGAGUAUGAGUGGAAAGAUGUGAACCUUUUUAAGGGAGAGCAGAUCAAUCCAGACUGGCCGUCUAUUAGAUAUUCUUAGCGAUCAUGGAGGACCAGUUCAUGAUUUGAUGUUUUCGCCUACAAAUGGCUGGAGUAUGAGUAGAAAGAUGUGAACCUUUUUAAGGGAGAGCAGAUCAAUCCAGCUGCAGCUCUUUCACGAGACCAUAAUCCUGGCCAAACUUAUGAGCGUCAAAGGACUAAGGAUGCAGGAGGUUUGAUACUCUGGGCAGGAGUUAUCAAAAUUAGUUGCUAAAUUGGCUGAGGAAGGAAAGAAAAGAAGUCUAUAAUUUGUUCCCACACACCGAUAUUUGUUCCCAAGAUUGAUUUCUGGAGUUUUUCUUUGAUUUGUGGAUGAACCUGCCUUUGCCCGUGAGCUGAUAAAUGUGAUAUUUGUUCAGAUAUUGUAGAGCGAUCCUGUAGGGGAUCUGUUUCAUAAAACUAGCCUAUGUGAAGUUAGCAAAGAGACAUAUGAAGAGAGUUGCAACUGAACUCCAAGUGAUGGGGGCAUCAAACAAGGACUCGGCUCUAGGGUAUAUGCUGCUUCAAGGAGUGAGAUUUGCUUUCAGAAUUCAUCGGUUUGCUGGAGGAUUUGAUUCCGAGACAAUGCAUGCAUUUGGGGAGCUAAGGAACCUUGCCCAUGUCAAAAAUAAGUUGUAAUUAAGAGGGGUAAUUAAAUAGCUGAAGUUGCUUACCUUCUCAUUAAGCAACCUAUAAACUCUGUGCAUCUUUUGUUUUAUUUUGGCGCUUGACUUUGUUGGAUGGAGUUCCAGAUGAACGGUUGUGUUUUUGUAUAGUUUGUAGCAAAAAUGCUGUAACUCAAAAGAAGAGGAGGGGGAGAUUAAAAAAUUGACUAGGCCUUGGAGGUUCAUUGAUCUUUAUAUUUUUGUACAUUUACAAUAUCAAUUUGAAACUGCAAUUAGACCCAA